CAGCCCCGCAGCCUCCAGUCGGUCUCCUGCGCCCGCCCCCCUCGAGACCUGGAAUUGUGGCCACGUUCACCGCCCUGUCUCCAGAUUCACCUGGUCACUCCUCAGACCAAGACAGAGUCUGCGAAGCUUUCAGAAUAAACAACAGUUUCAACUAUAACCAUUAUCACUACCCACUGCUCAUCCUGCCUCCGCUGCCAACUUGUUCAUCAUGUCAUCAGUAAGGCAUAACCUGUCUCCUGUAGAGGACACACAGGGAAAACUUCCAUAGCACUUCAUGUGGUUUUACAAAUGUCAUCCCUGUUUACUGGCUGCACGUCAUAUAAAAGUGAUCCCCAAUAUAAAAAAGUGAUCUGCACUCUCAUUUUGGUGGUGGUUUAGGUCAUUUGCAUUUUGAGCGGCUUAAAACGAUGAUACAGUGAACACUUCUGAACACAUAUCCUUGUGAAUCUGUCACCAGGAAAAAGUACUAGAAGUGAAAUUUAUAGUCAGCAGAUCAUUUAGAAAAAUAAGUAAGAAGAAUUCGCUGCUGUUUUGGUUGGAAUCGCAUUAAAUUUACAGAUUAAUAUAGGGAACAUGCAAUAUAUUCAAAACAUCAAAACUUUUCAUUCAAGAACAAGGUGUUUUCCCCAAUAAAUCUUGCACCUUUAAUGACAUCUUGGCAUCUGCUUCUGGAAGACCCAAACUGACACCGAAGAUGGAAAGUGUAUUAUCAAUUAGAAAAUGUGUAAUAUAGAUUUUUAAAUUUUUUUCAGAUUUUAAGUUGAAUGUGCUAAGUCAGGAUAUACAAUGUUUUAAAAACAAGACACAAAGCCUUUGUAUUUUAUAUAUGAAGUUUAAUUAAGAAGUGAAAAUUUAUUCAGGUCAAUUUAUUUGAACUCACAUCGAAGAAGAAACAUUCAACUCCAGGAUUAGAAAUAAAAAUGUAAACAGUCUACUUCUUUUUGGGUACGGGGAAGAUCACACAAGCCUGAUUGACAAGAGUACUAACAGCUUUGCGAAGUUACUACUUAAACUCUGUAUAUUCAAGUAUAUAUCAAGUUCAUACUUGGUUUACACAGAAUUUAUUCAAUCCUAGCAAAGUCAACAAAAUUUAAGUAAACCUCCUCUCAAGUUUUACUUUAAGUCUGAAAGCUUAGAUUUGAUUACAACCACAACAAAAGUGAUUAUCUUUACUUCCUGCAGAUGUAAUCAACUUUUAAAAUAACUUAGGCAAACAUCAAUUUUACAUAAACCUUAUUAAGGGUAGGAGGAAAUUGGAACUGUUCAUCCAAUUCCUGAGUCUAAACCAUAAAUCCAUAUUGUACUGUUAUCUCUAUUGUCAAACCAAGCCAAGAAAGCCUAUUACAGACUAGAAGUGAAUGUGAAUUUGCAGGGUCCACUAAGGGAUACUUUGAAAAUCUAUCAUCACAUUACUUUCAAGAAAUUACAGAAAUUAUUUUCAAGUAUGCUCCAAGAGUCACCUCUUAAGAACUAACCUUCAGCAAGUCAAGUGACAAGUAUUAUUUACCUACAUUUUGUAUGCUAGAUGAAGGUAAAAAUUUAGGAUUGAGUAAUCUAUUUGAAAAUAAAAAGUAAACAAAAAAUAGAUUCUGGUUUUAUUUGAAAUAGGAUUCAUGUGCCCCAAGUCCCUUCCCAUUGGGUUAUAUCCAUUAGUCUAUAUUUCUACCUAGAAGCCAAUCCAUUUGAAAAGUUACCUCCAUUAUGUGUCCAACAUUAUUAACGUAUUAGUACAGACUCUUGUAGCACUGCUCACUUCUAGUAUGCCACUAAAAAAAGG